AUGUAUCACUUUCUGUGCGGUGUGACUGAAUUUUAUACUGAUCAACUGCAAUAGGGACCAAAAUUUCAAGAGAUUGUUAAACUAGAAAUUAAAUUUUCUGUUUCUUGUGCAGUGAUCUUAGCAACAACCACAUUGGAGGGCCAUUCCAUUCACUGUGCUGCCAUUGUGAAUUCACAGACCCUUGAAGAAGUUGCAAGACUUAAAAAGAUCUUUGCUUUUCUAGAUCUGAUGUUCACUUGUUCAAUUUUGAUUUUCGCUCUCUGCUGUUUACUUCUUAGAUGACCCUUUUUUCUGAUUGCUCAUUUUUGUAAAGAGAAUCUGUUGUCUUUUUUAUUCCUCUUCUGCUGUCUAAUUUUCUCUUUAAUCCCAAAACAAAAAAAUCAUUGAGCUGGUGUGAGUAUAUUAUUGUCACCAUAAUUUUUGUUAUUGUGAAAGCCAUGUUAUAGUUUGACAGAUUAAGUACAUGUGUUGAAUGAGUUUCCUUUGUCCCUUUUGUGUUUCUUGUGUAGUUGCAUUAGCAAUUUUUCAUGCUUAAAACCUACUUUACUUGUACAAUAUACUUGUUUGUUUACCUUUUCAAGAAUUUUGUAUUUGUCUUUAUCCUGAUUAAAGGUCAGUUUGUACGGUGUUUCUUU